ACAAGGGCUUACUGCUAACACCGCCAGCAGUGAUGCUGUGGAUCACAUCAUGAUGCCUGCUGUUUCAACCGGCAUCACACUAGACGAAAUCAUCGAGAUCAGUUGUGACCUCAAUGUUGUUGAUGCGCAGCCCGUAACUCUGCCACCACGACUGCCUGUGCAUGUUCAUGAAGAACCUCAGGCACUUGCUGAUACCAACGGCGUGCUUGGAGUUGAUGAAAUGUACAUACCAAGAAGAGUAGAGUUGGGGGAGGUGAUGCCCAUCUCGGACGACAAGCUUUCCCGGCUAAGAGUAGAGUUGGGGGAGGCGAUGCCCAUCAAGACGGACGACAAGCUUUCACGGCUACUGGAGCAGUGCACCAAGCUGCAGGACAGGAUCGAUGAGACACUUUCCAUAUACUUUUGAGCCCCGUAGUAAGGCUGGAAGGGUUUUGUUACACCAUCCUUCCACAUUUGUUGUAACUUGUAAAACUAGAUUUUGUGGAAGUGAAAACUAACACUGCCAAGUUAAAGCGUUCUUGUUUGGCAGGAAUGAAAUAUAGAAGCGUCAUUUUUCUUCUCGAAUCAUGUCAUUGUCAGUAAAGUACCUAAAGCACGAUUUGGGUCAGACCAGCCCGGUGCGAGCAUAACUGUAUUGCGUGCACAGCUAUUGACGCUCCCACGCUACCGUAGUCCGCUUUGUCACUCCCUGCACUGCAGGGCCUGACAGUAAAUUUUGGGAAGAACAACAAAUUUUCAGCCAGUCACUGAAUAAGUUACUUCUGUUUAUGCUUGCAGAAUUUAAAAUUUUGGUGCACCUACACUUUCCAUGUCUCGGAUAUGCACAAUGAUUAUCGUUAUAUCAUCUGUCCUAUUUUCGUGCUCCAGCCAUAGUUUGUAUGACUCUGCAGCGAUUGCUGAGCAGGCAUCUCGAGGAUCUUGAUACGUGGCAACCUGUAGGAAACAAGGAAGAAUUUAGCAUUAGCGACACAGAUAAAGCCAAUCAAGAAAAAUUGCAUAUUUAUCAUUGGUUCAUAACUGAAAAAGUUCUAGCAGUCAUGCUAAAUUAAAGUAGUUUUUUAUUGCCCCGAGCAUGGCAUAAAUAACCGACUCCUACCACAGGACAAAAUAAUAUACUAGCUCCGUUCACAAAAUAAUAUACUAGCUUCGUUUUAUUCAAAAUAUUUAUUUGAAAAUGUAAAAUUUUAAGUCACACUCAAACAACCGUAAGUGAUAAAACAAAUCAUAACAAAAUAAACAAUAACUCAAUUUUUUAAAUAAAACGAGUGGUCAAAUUUUAAAAAAAAGUCAACGGUAUCAUAUAUUUGUGAACGGCCGGAGUACAUAAAAAAGCAUGAGAACGGGAAACAGCUAUUAGCAGCCUGGUUUUGUUGUAUAAGUAUAUAUUGUUUCAAAACUGGAGGAAAUGUUGGGGUGGAAAACUAGGAGGUUAUGAUAAAGGGGACCAUCCAAACUAUAGUCACCUUUGGACCAAAUCAAAAUAAAAUCGACAAAAUGCAGGUACGACCCUAGUAAUUCAGCAAUCAUCAGUUCAAUCUGAAAUGAUAUGUCAGUUUUGGGACCAACAAGAUAGCCAGCAUUCCUUUUUAUCACUUUAUCAGCAGUACUUUAGGAAAGUUUACUUUGUCCUUACAGCCAUUUGCCUAGCUUGUCCUCACACUUUUCUUCACACUUCGGAUUAGCCAAUUUUCCAUAACAGCUCAAAUGCUAGUCUAUUGUUCUACUACUCCAUAAAGUUACCUCCACUUUGGCAGAACUUUAUUCAGAGAGAGAGGGAGAGAGAGAGGGAGAGGGAGAGGGAGAGGGAGGGAGGGAGGGAGAGAGAGAGAGAGAGAGGGAGAGAGAGGGAGAGGGAGAGGGAGAGAGAGAGAGAGAGAGAGAGAGAGAGAGAGAGAGAGAGAGAGAGAGCAAGCAAGCUUUAAUAAUUAUGACAACGGCGAUCGACCUUGGAACCCUCACUAUUCCAUAAUCAUUACACCAUCCUGCAGUUUCAGCUUCCUGAGAAAAGCAACUUGACUGAUGGAGUACUUUAUAGUAUGAAGAAAAAUAAUAGUAGCAAGACAUAGCAUAUACAUCCAAACACACGAAGAUGAUCAUAUCGUGGAGAAGUCCCAAAAAGAACUUCACCCGGUGAUUUACCAGAAAGUUUAGAUGAAGGUUGUCUAUUAAUGAGAUACACGGCAGUGGAAACAACUUCACUCCAAAAGUGCGAAGGUACAAAAGAAGAUAUCAAAAGAGUACGAGCACUCUCAAUAAUAUGACAGUGUUUGCGUUCAACAACACCAUUUUGGGCAUGAGCACCAGGACAAGAAAGUUGAGCUAGAGUACCCUCUAUGGUCAAUAUCUGGCGAAAAUUAUCAGAUAGGAAUUCACCACCAGAAUCUGAACGAAAUUUUUUAAUAGUAGCAGAAAACUGGGUGUGAACCAUGCGAGUGAAGGACUUGUAAAUAGAAGGCAAUUCCGAGCGACGUUUCAUGAAGUAAAUCCAAGUAUAACGAGAAUGAUCAUCAAUAAAAAUGACAUAAUAUUUAUGACCAUCUUUAGAAAUAAACGGAGUUGGCCCCCAAACAUCAGAGUGAAUUAGAUCAAAAGGUUUAGCAGAAUGAGAAUUACUAGUAAAAUAUGGAAGCUGUAUUUGUUUUCCAAGAUGACACCCUUUACAAUGAAAACUAAACUCAAUAUGAGUAGAGCCUAAACAUCCUGACUUUAUUAGAGUAGACAGACGAGAUCCUCAUAAGUGACCCAGACGAUGAUGCCACUGGGCGAAUGACGUCGUGGGGCCCGAAGCAGCGAGCACAUGAGGUGUAGUGGUAGGGGAUGAAGGAAGACGCAAAGUAUCCAAGAUGUAGAGGCGAGGCGAAGAUUUACGGCGACGGCCAGUCCCAAUCACAUCCCCUGUUUUGCGAUCCUGUACAAAACAAGAUGAGUCAUCAAAUCCAACAAAACAAUUGUGAUCGGUAAUUUGACCAACUGAUAGUAGAUCCAUGGAUAACUGAGGUACAAAAAAUAUAUUUUGGACAGUAAAAGUUGGAUCAGAAAGAGAACCCUUGUGGGUGACAUGACAUAAUGUACCAUCAGCAGUCUGAACAGAAGUACCCUCGGUGAUAGGUGUAGUAGACGCCAGCCGUGACUGAUCAGAUGUCACAUGAAAGGAAGCUCCAGAAUCAAGAACCCAAGAUGAUGACAAAGUACCAGCAGAUGAAGUAGCAGCAACCGCAACUGAGCCUCGAGGAGAUGGUCCUGUACCACGACCACGAGUAGCACGACGGACACGAAAAUCAGCCAGCUUCUCUGGAAACUUAGCAAAACAGUUCUCAGACCGAUGAGUGGUCUUUUUGCAGUGUUCACAAGGCUGAAAGGAGUGUUGGUGCCUUUUUGGUUACCAAACACAAUAAUGAACCGCUUGGCGGUACUUGGCACCUUGGGUUCGGCUCUGCAAGAUGAACAGUAGUGCGGCCUGCGAUAGGUCGCUGGAUCGCCUGGUAGUGCCCUCUGCGACGGCGCGGACGGUCCGCGACCUGGGCGCAGGAGCGGUGUCUUCCCUGCGUCACACCGAACGGUCCGCAGCUCUGGGUCGGACGGUCCGCGACCUGGCGACAGGGUCGUCUUCCUCCUCCUUGCUGGAAUCUAGAUCUCGUCCCCUGGGGGAAAAGAUCUUAAGGUGCUCCAGGUCGACAGGUCAUCCGGGGCGUCCCUAGACGACGUGGAGUCGCCUAGGAAUUAAGAGAUCAAAUCGAGGAAGAGGUCUUGGAUGGACAACUAGAUCUUGCCCCCCGGGAGGGGUGAGAUCCUAGGGUCGUCUUAGGAUCGGCAGGCCACCCAAGACGGAUCUAGACGACGUAGAGUCGACUAGGGGUGGAGGUGGAUAUGCGGAAGGCUACAACUAGAACUAUGCUACAUCUACUCCUAGGGCAGGAAAAGUAAGUAAGGUAAUUGGUUCGAUUGGAAUGUGUUCAGGGGUUCUCAAUCGGUCGUACCCCUUUAUAUUUAUAGGGGAGGAGGUCUAGACCUUUUCCUAAGAGAUAGCCAACAAACUCCCACGUGAUUAGAUGGAUAACCACGCACGAGAUAAGGAUAAACAUCCGAGUUAAUCUAAUCUCGGGACACGCGGACCGCCCGGGCCCAUGGGCCGGACCGUCCGCUCAUUUUGGUGUUCAACAUAUGCCUCCCUGCCUUUUGGUGGAGCUUGGCGAACCAAAAGCAUCAGUGAAAACUUCGGAAACAAUUGACCUCAUGAGGUUUUGUUUCCGAAGUAAGGACUCAGCUCGAUGCAAGUCAUCGGCUCUUGCGAUCAGAUAAUAUAAAUACUUGAUAGGACUUUAAUGCAUAGAGGCCGUUUCAGAUCGCAUCCUCUUCGGCCAUGUCUACCUGAUCAACCUGUCAAUAGGCAAAAACUUGUGGUGCCCCCCAGCCCAAAUAAGCAAACGGAUUGGGCCAGUAAUACAAAUUCAUCGUCGUACCACCCCACACAUGAGCAGGACAACACAUCGGCGAUGGAUAGAACGGGACGCACCAUGCUAUCCCUGGAGGAGGAUGACAAGGCGAUCUUGGUUGUGCUACCCUUUGGGUCCGUUUAGUCGGCUUUUGCUUUCGCACAGGUCGCCCUUUUGACUUCGUUUGUUUUAUUGGCCGGUUGUGUGGAACGGCCUUCUUCAUAUAUUUGGCAAGCAACUGACCAAAAGUAGGGCCGACUCUACUGAGUCGUCCAGACGUCUUAGUAGUGUUUUGUUUCCUAACACUUGUGUUUGAACGUUGUGGUCCGAUGGUCUGAGGUUGUUGCUUCUGACCAUCUGCGGACCGUCCGGCCAUCAUAGCCGGACUGUCCGCGCCUGUCUCGGACUGUUCGGCCUUAGUACCCGGAUCGUCCGGCGUACGCAGGACAGGUGACCGUGAUCGGGUGUCCGAUCGUGCUUGCCCCCCGGUGCCUCCGGUCUUUCUUCUGUCCGGAGCCUUCAGAGUAACCAUUAUGCGUGACAUAUUUGGUGUGCGAGGAUCACCAAUGACGAUAUUUUUAUUUUUACUUUUAUCGGGCGCACAAGGCCGAAUUAUGGCCCUUUUGCUCGUUGGCUCUAAUGUGGUGACAGGAACAGGUGGCCUGUCAAUUUUCACCUCUUUUUGAAACCUCAACCGGCCUUCGUUUAUAGCCGAUUGUAUUUGCCGACGGAAGACAACACAAUCAUUGGUGUUAUGGAGAAAGGAGCCGUGCCAUUUGCAAUAAACACGCCCUUUUAAUUGUUCAACCGGAGGAAUUACAUGUGACAAUUUAAUAUUACCAUGUUUAAGCAACUCAUCAAAUAUUUUAUCACAUUUAGUAAUAUUAAAUGUGAACUUAACCUUUUCCUUUUGUGUCGAGUGCGGGUGAGAGCGAACAGAAGGUUUGGCCUUAGUGGGCCAAACAAGCUCAGGGACGUGUGACUUUUUUUGUUCUUGGGGCUUGGGUGGCCGGUUAUAUUUAUGUCGGACUUCCGCACUAGGCGGAUCACAGGUGACUUCUGGUGCUCCGGACGGUCCGACCUGCGCAGUCGGACGGUCUGCGGGUGGAUCGGACGGUCCGGUACUAUUCUCGGACUGUCCGGUCACGUCAGGCAACACCUGUGACCCUUGUGGUGGGCUCUGUGUAACUCCGGACUGUCCGGCGUAGGGUGCCGGACGGUCCGCAAUUGUGUGCGGACGGUCCGGCCGCGCUCAGAGUUGACUCACCAUUUAGCGAAGAUGGUGGUGACGCUCGUCCUGGAUAUGAGUCCAUCGGCAUACCAGAGUAUGGCUGGGAAAACCCUUUUGUUGCCGAUGUGUUUGGCGCAAUUGUUUUGGCGCCUAAUUUAUGUGAUAAAAAACUAGGCAUGUGAGUUUUUCCUAAUGCAUGCGCCAUCCUUUCUAUAUCCUCUGUGAUACUUUUAAUCCGAUUAUCAAAAGAAAUUUUAAUAGAUGGAAUAUCAUCGACUGACCUGACAUCACCUAUUGUGGGGAGCUGUUGCAGCACGGAUGACAUGUAAUCGGCGUCUAUUUCCCUUUCUUGGACGGUCUUCUGGUGGCAAUCCACCCUGAAGUGCGAGAGGAACCAUUUAUCCGCCACCUUGAGCACCUGAUCCUUUUGUCGUUGGACCUCCUCAUCUAUUUUCUUCAUGUCAUCUUUUAAUCUUUUAUGCUCAGCGGCCGAUAAAUUAGUCAGCCUUGUGCUGCUGUUUGGAGAAGCCCUGUUGAGAUCUUUAGAAUCGGCCAUAUAAGCCUGAUUUUGUAGAUCUUCAACCUCGUUCCCCAGCGGAGUCGCCAAAAGUAUGUUGGUGCCUUUUUGGUCACCAAACACAAUAAUGAACCGCUUGGCGGUACUUGGCACCUUGGGUUCGGCUCUGCAAGAUGAACAGUAGUGCGGCCUGCGAUAGGUCGCUGGAUCGCCUGGUAGUGCCCUCUGCGACGGCGCGGAUGGUCCGCGACCUGGGCGCAGGAGCGGUGUCUUCCUUGCGUCACACCGGACGGUCCGCAGCUCUGGGCCGGACGGUCCGCGACCUGGCGACAGGGUCGUCUUCCUCCUCCUUGCUGGAAUCUAGAUCUCGUCCCCUGGGGGAAAAGAUCUUAAGGUGCUCCGGGUCGACAGGUCACCCGGGGCGUCCCCAGACGACGUGGAGUCGCCUAGGAAUUAAGAGAUCAAAUCGAGGAAGAGGUCUUGGAUGGACAACUAGAUCUUGCCCCCCGGGAGGGGUGAGAUCCUAGGGUCGUCUUAGGAUCGGCAGGCCACCCAAGACGGAUCUAGACGACGUAGAGUCGACUAGGGGUGGAGGUGGAUAUGCGGAAGGCUACAACUAGAACUAUGCUACAUCUACUCCUAGGGCAGGAAAAGUAAGUAAGGUAAUUGGUUCGAUUGGAAUGUGUUCGGGGGUUCUCAAUCGGCCGUACCCCUUUUAUUUAUAGGGGAGGAGGUCUGGACCUUUUCCUAAGAGAUAGCCAACAAACUCCCACGUGAUUAGAUGGAUAACCACGCACGAGAUAAGGAUAAACAUCCGAGUUAAUCUAAUCUCGGGACACGCGGACCGUCCGGGCCUAUGGGCCGGACCGUCCGCUCAUUUUGGUGUUCAACAAGGAGGUGUUCCUAGACCUCUGAGCAGCAGCCAACACACUGCGAGAACUCACACCAGUAAUAAAGGACAUAGACUUCAGACGAGUCUCUUCAGCAAGCAAUUCGGACAAUGCCUGAGCCAUGGUGAGAGUAUCCGAACUAUGAAGCAGCAUUGCACGAAGGGAAUCAAAUUCAGGUCGAACUCCCAUAACAAAUCUGUAGGUAAAGAACUUCUCAAUAAACUUGUGGGCUGGACAAGGCACAACUGUACAAGCGGGCACCAUGGAGGUCAAUGCACUCAUAAGACGAUCAAAGGCGGAAUAAUAUUCAUCAAUGGACAUAUCAUGUUGUUCAAUCACACGAGUCUGCCGCAUAAGGGUAUGUAAAAGAGCACCAUUAUCCUGAACAAAUCGAUCCUUCAGAUGUGACCAGAUAGCCUUAGAAGUGGUAAAUUUGGACAGACUCAUAAUCAUAGUUGGUUUAGUGCUAUUGACCAUUGCAGCCAUUACCUUGCCAUCAUUGAUCUGCCAAGUCUUGAUUGCAGCAACAUUGCUUCUAUCAGCUGCUAAAACUGGAGAAUCUUCAGUCAAAUGAAAUAGUAAACCGUGACCUCUUAAUGCAGUCUGAACACAAAAGGUCCAUUCUGGGUAAUUAUGCCCAUCAAGCACAAUAUUGACAACAAUAGCGUUGGCCGACAUAUUGAGGAGCAAUAAAACAAUGAAGAAUAACAUAUCUGAAAUAGACUGGCUUGAUGGUACCAAAUAAAAGAAACCCUAGCGGGUGCAGCGGAUGAACAGUAGAUACGCCGGUUGCAGUCUUGGACGAAACUGUGCCCAGUCACAGCAGAUAAACAGAUCUAGCCAGGGCCGCACUCAGCUCAAAUACACACAGAAUCUGGCAGAGCAGGGGCCGUUGCUGACGGAGGCAGAGCCGCGACGGCGGAGUAGGGGCGGACGGUGCUGCUGGCGAAUGCAGGGCUGCAACGCCGGAGCAGGGGCGGAUGGCACGGUUAAUGGAGCAAAGGUAGACGGAGGCAGAGCCGCGAGUCAGGCGCUGCAGACGUAGCAGGGGCGCGCACAGACGAAGGUAGAUCCGCGGAGCAGAGGCGGGCGGCGCUGCAAAUGUAGCAGGGACGCGCGCAGAUGGAGGCAGAUCCACGAGUCAGGGUCGCGACGCAGGAGCAGAGACGGGCGACGCUGCAGACGGAGCAAAGGAGCGCAGGGGCGGGCGAACGGUGCAGUGGCCGCGACGGCGGCUGGCGCGCGCAAAGGAGCGCAGGGGCGAGCGGACAGUGCGCGGUGGCCGCGACAGCGGCUGGCCGCGCGCGCAGAAGAGCGCAGGAGAUGGCCGCGACGACGGCUGGGGGAGGGAGGGCCGCGACGGCGGCUGGGGAUGCAAGGGCCGCGAAGGCGGCUAGAAAACUAGGAAACCCUAAUCGUAACCUCCUCUGAUACCAUGUUACUAACCUUGGAUUGAUAAUUGAUGAUUAGUCCCUAAGGGUUGUAAGUAAUAUAUAUAGCUAGUAGGCCUGGGCCUAAUGGGCCUUAACACACAUAACAUUUCUUGUUAUUUUGUCAUAAGCCUUCUCCAAGUUAAUGAAAACCAUGUCUAGGUCCUAAUGCUCCCUAUACUGCUCCAUCACUUAUCUUAUGAAGAAAAUGGCUUCCAUGGUUGACCUUUCGUGCAUGAAACCAAAUUGGUUCAUAGGGAUCCUUUUUAUUCCUCUCAAACAAUGUUCAAUGACUCUAUUAUAGUUUCAUAUUGUGGCUCAACAACUUAAUUCCUCGUUAAGUGGUACAACCUCGAAUAUCUCUCUUGUUCUUGUAGAUUGGUACCUAGAGAUGGCAAUGGGUAAAAACCAUUGGUAUCUCUUGCCCAAAACCAUACCCACGAAGAAAAAACACGCUCGCUAAAAAACCAUACCCAUGACGGGUACAAAUUUUUGCCCAAACCCUUACUCAUGCUGGUUUUGGUACCCAACGAGUUUCCCAUACCUACUAACAUCAAAAUGAAAAAUAAUUCAUCGCGUAAAUGACAUUCAAUAUAUUAAUAAGCAUGGAUAAAAGAAACAAGUGAUAACUAACUUUACCUUAAACUUCGUUACAAGUAGUUCAUUUCAACUAGAACAUAUUCAAUUAGUAGUGUUAUGAGACAUUCACAAGUUAUGUUGAUUUUAAGGCGGGGUUUUAAAAUCCAUGGGUUUGCGGGUAUGGGUAGUACAAGAACAAACCCAUGUCCACAUACUCGUUUUCAAUGACUCUCUAACCUCAGAUUCUUAGAUCCUACACACAAAGCGUCUAUUGGUGUCAUCAAAAGAGUCAUUCGACUGAAAGGUUGUGUUCCCAUUCUCAAUAUUGAACAAUUUGUCAAAAUACUCCCGCUAUCUAUGUCUGAUCUCAUUCUUCACUAAGAGCUGCCCCAUUUCAAUCUUAAUGCACUUAACUUGGUUGAAGUUCCUUGUCUUUCUCUCACGGACAUUAGUCAUCCUACCUAUAUAUUAUUCUCUCAUUUCUUUGUACUCUGAUUUUGGUAAACAUCCUCGUACGCCCUACCCUUUGCCAAACUUACAGCUCGCUUUAUUGUCUUUUUUGCUACCUUGUACUUUUCUGUUGGAAAGAAAAAAUCCAUUAGGAAUUAUUUUGCCAUAUGGUUGGAAUCAUUAUUAAACUGAAGCAGCAAGAGCAUGCUUACAUAUUUAUAUGGCAAAAAUACUGUUGUGAAUGUUUCUUCUAUGGGGCAAUUGAUGGUUGCCCCUACUCGGGGUUGCAACUCCGUGUUUAUCCCAGUUUUUUAAAGUUCGCACGUAUGCCCCUCCUUUUUUGAAAUGAAGAGCCAGUUUGCCCCUUUCACCACUUAACAGUGUUAACUCAGCCUGCAAAAAAAUGUUCACACCAUUGGUCUUCUGUUUACUAAAUAUUACUAAAUAGGGCGUACCUAAUGCCGCAGGCCCGCACCGUGCAGGGUCUGAGGAAGGGUAUCUUUAUGCGCCAAGCCUUACCUGCAUAAUAUGCAGAGGGUGGGGCUCAAAUCUGGGACCUUCCGAUUACGGACGAUAGGCUCUACCGCUGCACCAGACCCGCCCUUCAUUGCUCUUCUGUUUACUAACCUUUUAAAAAUUUGCCCCCACUUUUAUAUGAAAGUUUGGAAUAUAAUUAUAACAUAAAUCAGACCAUAAGUUUUGAAAAUCAAUAUUUGAGCUUUGAAUUAAAAAUAUUUCGAAAUCGAUAAAAAAUGAUUUUGGCAUUAAAUUUCGACAAACCGAGAACAAUUUAUUUACAAUUUUGAAAAUAUAUUAAAACUAAAACAUUUUAAAAUUAUAGUCUUGCCACCCCCCAAACUUUUAAUAUUAAAUUCAAUUCAUUUUCAUCAAUUUUUUCAAAAUAUUUUAAAUCCAAAGUCAAAAUUUUGGUUUUUAAAAUUUGUGAUCAAAUUUAUGUUAUAAUUAUAUUCCAAACUUUCAUAUUAAAAUGGGGCAAGUUUAUAAACAUUUAAUAAAAAGAGCGCAAUGGUGCAUGGGUAUCUUUGUGGACUGAUUUAACACCGCUAAGUGCUGAUAAUGGAAUAGGGGCAAACUAGGUGUUAGUUUUAAAAAAACUACGGGCAUACAUGCAAACUUUAAAAAACAGGAGCAAAAACGAAGUUGCAUCCUCGAACAGGGGAACCAUGUAACAAUUUCUUCUGUUUAUGAGUAGUUAGUUUCCUGGAGUUUUCUUGUUGCACUUUGGUUUGUUUUAUUCAGAACCAUUAGUCCCUUAUUCAAGUUUAUAUGAUAUUAACAUUUAUUUUAGUUUUUCCGUUUUUCUGUCGCUGUGUUCAAUUUUUCGAACGGAUUGAUUUUUUAUUUCAUUUCCUACCAAUAUUUUUUGUUGUCUUCAUUUUGUCCCAUGGUUUUCUGGAAAUGUUAAAUUAGGAAGAGGUAUGGCCUCGCAGGCAAAUGUCUGCUAGGCAACAUAUCCCAGCCGCGAGGCGAUCAGAAUCAAUGGUCUGGGGGCUGCUGCCUGGACGCACAACCUAACAGCCCUGUGCCACGACUGAUUUACUAUGGGCUUUCAGCUAACGUGAGCAAUAUCCCCCCUGCUCUGUUUGCAGACUGGUUGACUAUUCGGAUACCAUCAAUGAUGAAAAUGUUGAAGCCUCAAAAAGGAUGCGAUCACCUGCAUCAGAGUUCACACGCAUGGUCAAGUCACCACCAUCGGAUACCAGAGGCAAUAUCAGGUCAUCAUCUGUAGAUUUUGGCAGCAACAACUCAGUCCAGAAUCUUCAUGCAUAUGCUGAUGUCCAGAAGUAAUUUUUUUUCUUUGAAUUUGUUUCGUUUCAUGUUAGUUUUGGUUAGAGUGUUGAUUUUGGGUAGUGCUAACAUUUUAACAUGCAGCAGUAGUUAGCAAAAAAAGUGAGAGCUCUUAUUGUGCCUGUUGAUCAUUGAUACUAAUAGUUGUUUUUUGUGCAAUUAUUACAGGUCUGAUGCAUCCUUUUCCAAGUUCAGAAAUCAAAUACAAUCACGCAUUGGUGGUGCAUGUUCACCAUCACAACAGAUGUCUCAUCUUUCAGACUCCAAUGAACUAAACACGUUAGCUAUUUCUCCACCAAAGCCUUCUAUCCUUAGUGCUACCAGAAGAACAGGGAUCUCUUCUUUGGAUGCUACUGAUGAUGAUCAUUUGACCCCUUCAACUGAACUUGAGAGGUACUUAUUAUCCACUAGAUGGCUUUUCACUUAAUUAAUGAUUAGGUAUGUUGCCUGUUGGCGUUACUCAUGAAGCAUUUUGUGCAGGGAGGAACAAGCAAAAGCCAAGCGGCUGGCUCGUUUCCACGUUGAAUUAAGCAGGCCAGUACAAAAUACUAAUGAUUUUGUGAAAACAGUUAAAAGCUCUGCAGAUAAGUCCAAACAAGCCACAUCAGUGGGAAGAACUCCUUUGAGAACAAAUGAUGACACCGAUGACAAUACUUUGGUUGACAUGGAUUCCACAGCUUUGGCUGCAAUAGUUGGGCUUUGCCCUGAUAUGUGCCCAGGUUCUUCCUUAGAUCGUCUUCACACGAUACUAUUUAGUUAUUCAAAUUGCCUUUUCUAUAUACCUUCCUCUAAACAUACAGAACUAAUAUAUCUUUUGCAUAUAUAUCCUUGUUUCCCUUUAGAACCUGAGAGGGCAGAGCGUGAGAGAAAAGGAGAUCUUGAUAGGUAUGAAAGAUUGGACGGAGACAGAAACCUAACUACUGAGCUUCUCGCUGUUAAAAAGGUACAUACUACAUUCCUUGUAAGCUUGCAGUAUGACAUUAUUUAUCUAAAGGAGUGGACAAAGAACCACGUAACCUGUCUAAUUAUCUAAAAUCUUGAGCAUCACAUUGGAAUUUCUAACUUUAAAAUCCUCUGAACUUAAUUCAUCGUGACUUAAUGAGUGCAUGUUGUUACACAUUAUUUGGUUAUUAGCAUUAGAUCAUUUUGUGAUAGCAGUGUCUUUCAGUACUUCUAAAUCACUACUUCGGUGUACUUUCAUGUAGUAGGCUGCUGUUCAAUUUCAAGUGCACUUUUUUUUUUGUAAAUUUAACAAGCGAACUCUCUUCCCAGCUAAGGAGGCAAGCACUCGCUUCCUUGCACAGUGGUCUUCAGAAUGGCCAAGGCAUCCCUAUUUCGCAGGUUGUGGUGUGGCUUGCUAUGGAGGUUAGUGUGUUUUCUUCCUUUGGACAGAAACUAAUUCUGAACUGGGAACUUGUGAAAUCCUUAUAUGCCUUCAUUUUCUCUUUCAAGGACGAGGAUGUUGAAAAUCUAUUAGAAUACCAUGGUUUUGGGUUGAGGCAGUAUGAAGAACUGUACUUAGUCAAAGAAGGACCUUUUCUUAACAGUGAAAGUGAUUUCCCAUCUGGCUGUUCACAUCUUGUGCAUUCUAAAAAAUCGCAGAGGGUCGUUGAUGAUGUUUCUUCUGGGCCAGAUUGUGCUCCAACUAGCAAAGAAAAGACUGUCUUUCCAUAUACUGGUCAACCAGUUGCUGGCAAAAGAGAUCUAUUUCUACCACAGAAUGCUCCUGCGAUUCCUCCUGAUGGCAGAAUGGAUUUGGAUCCAUCAUUUCCUGGGCCUAUUUCAAUCACUCCUGACAGACAGAUUAGCCCAUUGUUUUCAGAUCCUUUCUCUCCAAGAGCUGCCAGUAAACUAUUCAGUUCAACACAUCCAAAGCCUCUCUCCCCAACUGAUGGUAGAAAAGACAGGUUUUCAUCUGUCCUUACUGCUGUUUCUCCACGUACUGGCAAGAGGGACAUACUGUCAAAAACACCAAAAGUAGCUUCACCAAAAGCUGAAGGCAAGACCAAAUUGGUUAAUGACCUUAUAGCUGAAGACCAGGAUAGUGGUGUUGCUGAGAUCCCUCAGAAGGUAGAGAUGCAAACAGACAUACUGUGGUCACAAGCUAACACGCAAAACGCCAAUGCUCUGGCAGAACCAAUUAUUUCACAUCCUCUUGCAGAUAGCAUGUCUUUAAAUUACUCCAGUAUGUAUGGAGCGGAAGAUGACUUCAGGGCACAUGUUUCUGGCAUCGGUGCAGAUAUGGAUGAGGGAACUCCACCAGAUCAUGAAUGUCUGGUUAUUGGAGCUGGAUUGCCUAUUAGCUCCCCUUUGUCCUAUCAUGAGGAAUAUGAGGAUCAUAGUAUUAGUAACGGCACAAAUGAUGAUUGGUUACCAAUUGUUAUGCCCGCAAAGAAACUAAUUUCUGAUGAAAACCUGAAAGCAAUACUGAGGUUCUUUUAUACUUGUUCUAUUCGUUUAUGCUCCCAUCAGUAGAACUUUGGUGGUAACUUAUAAAAGCUUGAUUCCUAUUGUGGUGUUUCAGGAAAUGGAGGCAGCAUGCUGCUGACAAGCGAUUACUUAGGGAGCAGAAGAAUGCUCUUGCUGUUGCAGCAUUGUGUUCUCUAUCACUUGGCCCACCAGUUCAUAAAAGUACAACGGUAAGACAUGUCAUAGUUUUUUUUUCCAGUAUCAGUAAAUUGAGGUAUCACUUUUCUUCUCUCGCUGCAUUAUAAAUAUCACUUUCUGCAAGAUAAAAAUUAAAUUGGAUGGAAUUGUGUACCUCUAUUAUUAAUUGAUAAAUCAUCGAACUUUGGUGAAAUUUCUGUGUGAACUGAUGUUUUAGUGAUUUUUUCUAGUGUUGUUAAAAAGUGAUAAUGAUUAAGACUUGUGUACUAUACUACUAUGAAGGUGUCUAAGCUAGCAGUCGAAGAACUAGAUAUUGGCCACGCCUUUAAAGAAAGACAAGCAAGAAAGCAAAGGUCCUGGUCACGGCUAAAUGUUUCGGAGUUGUCUGGUCCCAUUCUAAAUGAAAAUAACCCUGAUGCUAGAUGCCUCUGCUGGAAGUUGCUUGUACUUGUUCCACCGGGUAUGGAAUCCCAGACCAACAGUUUUGUCUCAAAAUGGUUACUUAGAAAGCUCAUGGGUUAUGGAAUCGGAGAUAUUGGAUUGGUUGUUUCUUCAGCAGGCCUAUCAAUUUGGACAGAGUGGAUCAGUUUUCCAAAUGCAUGUUGUUUGUCUGUUGUUAGGGCCAGCGAUCAGCAAGUUAUUGAUAAUGAUAUUGCUAACAGUACAAGUUGUAUAGUAUUUGUAGUGUCUGAAAGCAUUUCAUGGGAAAUGCAGAAGGAACGGUUUAACAGUCUUUUAGCCUACAUACCAGAUGAAUCCAAUCUUCCCCUUCUGAUUUUCAGUGGCGAUACAUAUAACGAAGGAUAUGAGUAUGCGUCAAAGUACAUCAUCAACAUGCUUGGCCUCAAUGGUCUUAACAGAGGAAAGAUCGGUUUGUCUUUGGUUAUUUUUCUUGUUGAAAACUACACAGAAGACCAUGCCAAUGGUUUCUUUGAUGAUGACAAACUGCGUGAGGGCCUGAAGUGGCUGGUAAGUAGUUUGCCAGUGCAGCCUGAUGUCACUCUUGUGAAGACCCAUGAAUUGCUUCUGGAAUACUUGAAUCCACAACUUGAGCUGCUUAACACCCAUGUUGCACCUGGAGCUGGUCCUGGCGAUUGCAUUUCAGUAUUCAACAAUGCUGUCAAUCAACUUGCAGAAGAGAUUUUGGCUGCAGCAAACGCAAACCGUAGCCAAUGGCCAGCUCCCGAGAUUGAUCUUCUGGAGAGAACAAGCAAUGAGAGGAUAUAUGCAGAAAUGUUCUUGCCUAGCAUUGGAUGGUCUUCGCCAUCAAGGAUCCAGCCACUGCUUGCAGCCAUUAAUAGCUGCAAGAUUCCAGAGUUCAGUUACGAUCUAUCUUGGCUAAACCAUGGUUCUCACAUGGGCAAGCAGAUCCAGGAUCAGAAGAAGUUACUUGAGGAGUGCUUGGCGAGAUACUUGACCGAAUCAGCCCGGCUGUUAGAUGAAAGCCAGGUGGUCACCGAAGUGAAUGUUAUGGUGCAGAAUUGUGUUGGCCUUGAACUCCGGGAUUCGUCUUACUAUCUCGCUCCCAGAUGGGUGGCGAUCUUCCGUCGUAUUUACAACUGGAGGCUAGCAAAGCUCUCUACCGGAAAGUUCUCCGAAGCUUAUGUUCUGACUCAGCACCUGUAUCAGGCUCCUGCAGCAGCUGGCUCAAAUGGUACCACACAAGGGCUUACUGCUAACACCGCCAGCAGCGAUGCUGUGGAUCACAUCAUGAUGCCUGCUGUUUCAACCGGCAUCACACUAGACGAAAUCAUUGAGAUCAGUUGUGACCUCGAUGCUGUUGAUGCGCAGCCCGUAACUCUGGCACCACGACUGCCUGUGCAUGUUCAUGAAGAACCUCAGGCACUUGCUGACAACAACGGCGUGCAUGGAGUUGAUGAAAUG
rnacentral:lncRNA from 1 species